AACGCACAUUGCACCUCUCGCAGGGGAGGUAUGCCUGUCUGAGCGUCAUUGAAACCUAUAAACCCUUCUGGGUUUGUGCUGGGCUCCACAUGAGGGUGUGUUGCCUUGAAACCAUAGUCUAACCUGUGGACGAGCUCCUUUCGGACCUGCCAUGGUGAGGCCUCUAUCUCUGAAUUUGACCUCAGAUCAGGUAGGAACACCGCCUGAACUUAA
rnacentral:misc_RNA from 1 species